AUUGAACGCUGGCGGCAGGCUUAACACAUGCAAGUCGAGCGGGGUGAUGGUGCUUGCACUAUCACUUAGCGGCGGACGGGUGUGUAAUGCUUAGGAAUCUGCCUAUUAGUGGGGGACAACAUCUCGAAAGGGAUGCUAAUACCGCAUACGUCCUACGGGAGAAAGCAGGGGAUCACUGGUGACCUUGCGCUAAUAGAUGAGCCUAAGUCGGAUUAGCUAGUUGGUGGGGUAAAGGCCUACCAAGGCGACGAUCUGUAGCGGGUCUGAGAGGAUGAUCCGCCACACUGGGACGGAGACACGGCCCAGACUCCUACGGGAGGCAGCAGUGGGGAAUAUUGGACAAUGGGGGGAACCCUGAUCCAGCCAUGCCGCGUGUGUGAAGAAGGCCUUAUGGUUGUAAAGCACUUUAAGCGAGGAGGAGGCUCUUUUGGUUAAUACCCAAGAUGAGUGGACGUUACUCGCAGAAUAAGCACCGGCUAACUCUGUGCCAGCCGCCGCGGUAA
rnacentral:rRNA from 1 species